CCAAGAGUCCCCUCCCCACAUCCUGCUCCCAGAAAUGCCUCCCUUACCUGUUGCAGAGCCUGGACAGCAGUGUCAGGGCUGGCUAGCAGGGACAGCAGCAGGCACUGCAAACUGCUUCUCUAUUUAUGUGCUGAAUUAAUUGCUCAGAAGCUGCAUUCAUUACCUGCUCUGUGCCUGCUCCCCAGCUGCUCAAAACCAGUGGUCUGCUGGAACUACUGGUCACAGCAAUGUCAGGGGGCACCCCAGGGGAUGGAGGAGUGCCAGGCCCUCGCUGGGCUCUGUGGAGCUGAGAGCAGAGAGUUUGAUGAGGUUUGACUGAUGAGGUUUGGCUGGAGUAGCCUGUGACCUGGGAGGAUUGCUGGGUGUUCCAGCCUGGGAGGAUUGCUGGGUGUUCCAGCCUGGGAGGAUUGCUGGGUGUUCCACCCUGGCAGGCAGCUGCUGCUCUGGAGCUCAUUUCUGAGAGUCUCUCCCCUGAGACAACUUUGGCCACUUUGGUGGAACACCUCCCCAGGAAAGUCUUUUCUCACCACGUGCUGCAAGAGGCAGAGCCACAGAGGAGCAGUGAAGUGCCAGGACACUGGGAUGUCACUGCUCCCACCAGGAAAGUCCCCACAUCUACUUUGGGGAAAUCAGGCAAUCUUCUCCCUGCUCUGCUCAUGCUUUUCUCCCUGCCCUGCUCACACUUUUCUCCCUGCCUUGCUCACACUUUUCUCCCUGCCUUGCUCCCCUCCACAGUGUUUUCCUCCACAGAGUGCUCACUGUGUCCCUUUCCCAUGACAGGACAUGAAUGCAAGUUUACCCAGAGAAACCAAGGAACCUUUUUUUUUGUCUUUUUGUUUCCUCGUGACUGAAGGUAUUUUUCUGUUUGUGGAUGGAAGAGGUUAAUAAUUCACCUGAUGGCCUUGAUGAAGGAGCUGUUGGCAACAAAUGAGCUGCAAUCACCAGAUUAAAUCUGAAUAUAUUUCUUCUCUCAUCAAGAAUUUUGUGCUGAUUUGAGUUUCUAACUUAACAAAACAUGCAAAAGAUAGAGGAUGAAUGAAGAAAUGCUUCUGCUGAGGUAGAGAUAUCAUGACACAGUAACUGGGAGACAAUCCUGGUUUUUUUUUUCAAAUCAAUAGCUUUCAGAAGCAACAAAAUCUGAUUGAAAUCUCAAAAACCUCCUAUGAUGAGUAUCUUGAAAGGCAGAUUAUUCCAGUAAUUGUUUUGGUUUCUAGUGUAAUGACAGCAGACUGUGCUCCUAGAGAUGAACACGUGGCCUAUGUGGCCACACAACAAAUGUGACUUAGACAAGGAACACUGUAGUAUUUAUUUCAUAGCUUUUAAAAGGUGGAAACACAAAUCCAAAGUGUUCUUACACUGGUCUGUGAACCAAGUGUUGGGCUCCAAUCUUGUUUCAGGUGACAAUCCUAUCUUUGAGAGAGAAUCUGGUGCUCCUGCCACACCCCAGGUCUCAGAGUUGGGGUUGCAUUGUGGCACCAGCCUUUCCCAAGGGAUCUGCUGAGCCCUGUGCUGGCCCUGCCCAGCCACCACUGCCAGCAUCCUUCUACAGAGGUGAUUUUGGGGCUGAACAUGUAAAUCGAGUGUAUAAUGGUUAUCUAACAGCUGUUAUCAUGUUGGUUGUUGUUACAAUCACGGUCAGAAUCAAACAGCAAGUUUCUGCCAUGCUUUGUUUAAUUUGAUUUCUAGGAAAAAGUUCUGGGCAAUGACACAGGAGAAAGCUGCUGGCCCUGCUGUGCUGGUGGCCAUUGCUUUUCUAUUCCAGUUGCAUUUCCCUUUUGGUCAUGCCAGGCUGUUCCUCCCUUUUUCAAGAGAGAAGGUCCUGGUCCUCAGUGCCUGGUGAAGGAUGGCAGGAGGUGCAAAUCCUGGUACCCACCACGGAGAGCUGCAGCCACACACUUGGACCCACCAAAAUAAUGUGAUUUGUGCCAGUGGCCUGGCUUCAAUUCUUGUCUCUCUGUGUGGGGUGGAUGGAAAUGGGAUCAAAGGAAUACCCCGGGUCUGGUUCAUUAUCACCCUCUGGACCUGCUGACUUGGAUGAUUUGGGGUUGAAGAGGCACAAAAGGGAAAGGGGCUGCAGGGUUGGCUGCAGGGCAGCGGGGCUGGGGUGGUGGCACUGGGCAAACCCUGUGCCCACGUGCCCUGCCACAAUCCUGGGCAUCCAGGGAGGGAUGAGGGAAGAGCCAGAGCCAGAACCAGCUCCCAGUCCCUGCAUCACGCAGGAACAGCUCAGCAGGGAAUGAGGUUUUUGCUCAGGGCUGUGUGUGGCACAGCCUCCAAACCAGUUGCAUUUUUUCUGUUUGAAUAGUUCCCACCCAACAGGAAUAAAAGAGUUUGUGGGAUAUUUCAAAUAAUGAAAACAAAACCCCAACCCAAACCAGGUAAUCAGAAAAAGUGUUGUUUGUAUAAAUAAUUUUUUAAUUUUUCAAAAUGAUUUUAUUUUUGAUGUACUUGACUAUAGAGUUUUCACUGUGAGAUUUUAUAACUCAGAUCUCUGGUUUGAAUAUACUGACAAGCAACUUAAACACUAAAAUAAAAUGAAACAAGUUUAUAUGGCUUGCAUCAAACAAUUGGUUUGGUAAAAACAUUUUCCUGCUCCCAUCCCUUGAUUUUCAGAUAAUAGAAUUCCUAUUAAUUUCACAUUUUCCUAAGACAAGAGGAUGUUUUUGAGAUCUUGAAAGAAGUGAAUGAGGGAAAUAUUUGCUUCUCAGAUUGUCCUUCCACUGAAGCAAGCAAAGGACUCAAACAUUUCCCUGACCUUUGCUACCAUUGCAAAAUUUCUCUUAAUUUCAGAGGGAAUUCUGGAUUCAGACACCAGGCAUUUCCCCCUGCUUCCAUUUUAUUUCUCUGUUAAUAAAGGAGUUCUCAAUGGUGCCAAGUUCUUAAUGAUUUGGAUGCCUCUCUGUGUCAGUACCAAUAAUCUAUUUUCAUGUGUGUGUUCAUCCAUCACCCUCAAUUAAAGGAUUCAUGGAGCAUGAGGAAGGGACAAAUGGUGAAGUUAAAUGAAAUUUCUUUGUUACAGAAGCAGGAGAUGAACCAGGCCUGCAUCACCUGCAUUAAAAGGACAAACCUGUCAGGACUGACAGUUCUUUCAUGCCAGAGAGAUGAAAUGUUUUAAAAAGUUGUGAAAAUACACUUUAAAAUUGCAUCCUAAAAGUGCUUUAAAUAAUAGUAAAAAAAGAUUUAAUGAUACUGUUAUAUACUUUUCCACUUUCUUGUUUACUAAGCUUUUGUGGCAAUUCCUGUAAUGAUUUCAGAAUUGUAAGUGGGACCAUCCAGUUUCCUUCUCUUUGCUCUUCUGUGCUGGAUCAGAAUUUGAUGUGGAUUUGUGUUCUCAACCAAACAGAUUCUGCUCCAGCAGCUCCUGACACCUCCUUGAACCCUGGAUCCCACCAGGUCUCUUGGGAUGUGGGACAACAGUGGAAGGAACCCCCUGGAAACAGCUGGUUUUGAGCAGUGGGAAAUUAUUUUUGAGGGAAAAAAAAAGCAUUUUCUGUUGGUAUCUUUUUUGUAAGUCCAAAACCUGAUCCAUCGUCAUGUUUUUCUGGAUUUGUUUGCAAACAGUUUGAGUUAAUUUUUGCAAAAAGCAAGAUUAUGGCUUAAAGAACAGCAGUGUAUUGAAGUGAGAAAGAUUAUAAUAGUUAAAAUUUCAGAAAAAAAGUUAAAUAUCAUUAUGAUCCUUAUAAAGUAGAACAUUUUCAAUGCAUUUUAUGCAUGUAUGACAAUCUUUAAAAAAAAAAAAAA
rnacentral:lncRNA from 1 species